ACCUAAUACCAGUGUGCUCUCUUCCUUUUCAAUCUCGUUGCUGAGUAAGAAUAACACCGUUAACAGUGUCCUUGUAAUCAACUAAACAUACUAAAAUCUGAUAUAGACAGAGUUCCUGGGCAUCAUCUUUGAAAACUCGUGGAGAUCAGGAGAGGUCCUGAAAUAAUGGAAAAGGACACAUGUAGUGCCCAUCUUUAAGAAAGGGAAGAAGGAAGAUCCAGGGAACUAUGAACCAGUCAGCCUCCUCUCAGUCUCUGGAAAAAUCAUGGAGCAUGUCCUAGAGAAAUCCAUUUCAAAGCACUUGGAGAAGAAGGUGAUUAGGAACAGUCAGCAUGGAUUCACCAGGAAAAUGUUUUUUCUCUCUCUGUUCCUGUGAAAAAGGCCUAAAGAAACAAAGGGAAACAAUGAACUAAAUGGCUAUCAAGGGAAAUGGUGAAACAAACUCUACUCAACACAAAAGAAGCUAACUGGAAACAGUGAUGUCUAUAAUUCCUUUCAGUUAUAAUAUCUUUGUGGGAUAAUCAUAAUAGAUAAAAAAAAAAAGAGUUUUAAGUUGGUGUCCCUUUAAACAUUUAUUUAAAGGAAAAACAGGGAAAAAAUCUAAAGUAAGCUCUGUUUUCUUCUUCUCUGGUUUGGAUUUCAUCAAUUCUCAGGAUUGAUGUUCUAGGGUUAGUGCCUUCUUCCAUUAAAAUCAGCAGCAAGUCCACUUCACUCUCAAGCACCCUUUGCCAAAGUUGUGACAAAAGCAAUAGUAAUGAUAACGGUUUGCACUGAUGGCAGCACUUUUCAUCCAAAGAUCACUAAGCUCUUUCAAAAUUGUGCAAUAUCAUACCCAUUUUAAAGGUAAGGAGACUGAAGUACAUAGCUCCCAUUGUCCUCAGCUCAUACAGUGUGCCUACAUCAAAGUCAGGAUUUGAGCCAGUCCCAGAGACAAGAGAAAUAACCCACAUAUUCCACCUCUUCCUUGUUUUAACCACUAGCCCAUUUUGCCUCCCCAAUGGCAGUCCCUCACCAAAGUCUCAACCUCAGCUUUUCCCACAGUAUCGUCUUUUCUGUGGGCUUAUGUGAAUGAAAGGGGAUCCUGCGAGCAAAACCUUUGCUGAUCAGCUAAGUGGAUCUGAAGUUUCUCUCUCCUUUUGCUUUCCUUCCUGCCACGUGGCUGCCUGUGCUGCAGUUCGGGCUUAGGUUGAAUACUCAGACUUCAGAGAGAGCUGAUCUGUUCUUUGAUUAGCCACCCCAGCAUUUUCUGGGUGUUGAUUAUUGAUCUCUAAACAGGCUGGCAGAGAAAGCUCUUGUUUCUGAAAACUUGUCCUGCUAUUGGCACCACAGGAAAAUCCAAUUUUCAACUGCAAGUCUAUAGGAUAGCAGGACUCCUCUACAAUUAGGAUGAUGGUAGUUAUUAUUUUACUUUUAUUAAGCAAGCCCCAGCCACUGUUUUCCAGUCUUAGCUUUUACUUACAGUAAUCAAUUUUUCAGUAUAACUGGCUGUAAUUGUUGGCUAGAUAUUGAGCCUUCAUGGUGCUUAGACAUAGUGUGUUGCUGUGAAGUGUCUUCCCCAUACUUCUCAGACAGAUGGGUAAUAAUACUAUACAUUAAUACCUCCACAUUGGUUUAUGUGUGUUUGACCACAGCGCUAGCAUAAUUAUUUUUCUUCAGUAAAAGCUAUUAGAGAUCUAUUUGGUAGGUUUUACGAUCAAUAGCUCCUGUGAUAUUUGUGUAGCAGGCACAGAAUAAUCAAUUGAAGGUCAUAUAAAGUAAAUUACCAUCCUCCUAUAAUGAUUCUUUUUUCUAGAUGAGAAUGGGUUUUAUUAUUUCAUCAGGAGAGCCCUCACAAUGCUUGCUUUUUUUGUGUGUGAGAGAGGGAGAGAAAAAGAGGGAGGGAGAGAGAGAGAGAGAGAUAAAUGUUGUGGGUGUAUUUUGUAACAUGGUAUUAAUAUCUAUUACCUGAAUUUAUAUUAUCGGGCUAUUGAAUCAGUGGUUGCCAAAGUUUAGAAUAAUUUUAUGUGAUUGGUGGCACAAUGAAUAUCUACCUGUGAAGAAAUAAAAGACGUGGCUUAGAUUUGGUA